CUGUUUUCCAGCAACAAAUCUAGUGGACUAUUGAAUCACAAAAGGGAUUUCAAGAUUCUGCUUCUGGCCCAUUUUCCACUGCCGGAACAAAGCUACGCUGUCACUUGUCCGCGUUGUGAAAUGAUGCUGACGUGGAUGAGUUACCCAAAAAUGUUCCUGGGGCACUAGGGUUCUCUCAGGGAGCACGGCAUUCCACUGCACUCAGACUUUAUGGACACCUGUGAACGGAAGACGCAUCAACAGGAUUAAAAGGCUGACAGGAGACACCCAGACCCGAAAAAAGAGCCAUGGCUGAAAAGAAGAUUGCUUCUC